CACGCCGUAAACGAUGAGUACUAGGUGUAGGGGGUAUCGACUCCCCCUGUGCCGCAGUUAACACAAUAAGUACUCCGCCUGGGAAGUACGAUCGCAAGAUUAAAACUCAAAGGAAUUGAC
rnacentral:rRNA from 1 species